rnacentral:miRNA from 1 species
GUGUUCCGCUCUGGCCGCCUGGAAAGGAGUUUUAAGGGCUGGGCCGGUCGGCGUCCGG